rnacentral:rRNA from 1 species
UACGUAGGGUGCGAGCGUUGUCCGGAAUUAUUGGGCGUAAAGAGCUUGUAGGCGGUUUGUCGCGUCUGCUGUGAAAAUCCGGGGCUCAACCCCGGACUUGCAGUGGGUACGGGCAGACUAGAGUGUGGUAGGGGAGACUGGAAUUCCUGGUGUAGCGGUGAAAUGCGCAGAUAUCAGGAGGAACACCGAUGGCGAAGGCAGGUCUCUGGGCCAUAACUGACGCUGAGAAGCGAAAGCAUGGGGAGCGAACAGG